GUAAUUCAGCAACUGCUGCUGCGAUAAACCCGAGUUCUCACCUGAUUCAAACCCUAAUUUCAUCCCUGGUCUUAUACUUCCUCCUCUGAUUCAAACCCUAAUUUUACCCCUAAUUUACAUCAAGAACAACUCUAGGCGAUAUGAUCCUUAUCUCAUUCUCUCCUAAUUUGUUGAAGUAGGUGAAAUUCCAUCUCAAAUUGAUUUACCUGCUUCAACAAUUCCAUCUCUAAAAACUUUUCACUCCAAAAAUUGUGAAGACAUGACAGAUGUUGGUUUAUCUUCUUCAACAAGACAUAACAGAUGGAGUUUCUCCUAAUUUGUUGAAGCAAGUGAAAUCCUAAUUUGUUCACACCAUUUUUACCCAUGAUCUUACAUCUCAAACAUAUUUUGAACAUCAUUCGAUUCAGAGACGAAGAACUUGUUUCGAAUGAACAAAGACAAAGAACUUAUUUUAGACAAAGAACAAACAUGAACGAUGAAUAGAGACAAAGAACCGAGUAACCCUAGCCGCAAACGCGCCUUGAUUUUUGAUGAUACAUCUUAACUUUCAGAUCCACGUGAUUGUAUGGUAUAUGAUUUGGUUAUUGUGAAAUGGUAUUAUAAAGAUGGUAGAUCUGGAAGAUGGUCAUGAACUUGAACAUGAAGCACCGAUUUGGUUUGGGGGGUAUGAAAUUUUUGUGCACUGGUUUGUUUUGGGGGAUAUGAAAUUCUCGUGCUUGCUGACAAAAUAAGAAAUAAAAACAAAUUCUUAAGCUUGUUGUCACACCCUUAUUUUUCUACGUGUCACCGAUGGGCCUGGUGGGGAGUAUCAUGACGUAGUUGAUAUCAUCAUAGUCAAACAACACAAAUUUAAAAUGCACAGCGGAAGCAAAAAGAUAGAUUUAUUUCAACCGAAUAAAUAUUGUAAUAUUAAGUAUCAUAAACAGUUGAAAUAGAUCCACAGGCG
rnacentral:lncRNA from 1 species